rnacentral:tRNA from 1 species
GUUUUUAUAGUGUAAGUCAGCACAUUAGAUUUUCAUUCUUAAAGUACAAAUGUUUUUGUUAAAAAUA